UUUUUGGAGAGUUUGAUCUUGGCUCAGGACGAACGCUGGCGGCGUGCCUAAUACAUGCAAGUCGAGCGAGUGAAAUUAACUGAUCCCUUCGGGGUGACGUUAAUGGAUCUAGCGGCGGACGGGUGAGUAACACGUGGGCAACCUGCCUGUAAGACUGGGAUAACUCGCGGAAACGUGAGCUAAUACCGGAUAACACUUCGAACCACAUGGUUUGAAGAUGAAAGGCGGCGCAAGCUGUCACUUACAGAUGGGCCCGCGGCGCAUUAGCUAGUUGGUGAGGUAACGGCUCACCAAGGCGACGAUGCGUAGCCGACCUGAGAGGGUGAUCGGCCACACUGGGACUG
rnacentral:rRNA from 1 species